UACGUAGGGUGCAAGCGUUAAUCGGAAUUACUGGGCGUAAAGCGUGCGCAGGCGGUUUGUAAGUUUGUCGUGAAAUCCCCGGGCUCAACCUGGGAAUGGCGAUGAAGACUGCAAGGCUAGAAUCUGGCAGAGGGGGUAGAAUUCCACGUGUAGCAGUGAAAUGCGUAGAUAUGCGGAGGAACACCGAUGGCGAAGGCAAUCCCCUGGACCUGUACUGACGCUCAUGCACGAAAGCGUGGGGAGCAAACAGG
rnacentral:rRNA from 1 species